rnacentral:rRNA from 1 species
AGCUCUGUAAGCGUAUACCAAAGUUGUUGCAGUUAAAACGCUCGUAGUCGGAGGUUGGUGGGCGACCUGGGGCGUCUUCACGGACGGAUCCAGGGCGGCCGCCUUUGUGGAUGGGGGCCCGGUGGAGCUUCACUGCGUCACCGUGGUCGCUGCCACCGUUUACUGUGAAAAAAUUAGAGUGUUCAAAGCGGGCGUUUGCCAUGAAUACAUUAGCAUGGAAUAAUAGAAUAGGACCUGUCUCCUGUUUUGUUGGUUUGUGAGGAACGGGUAAUGAUUAAGAGGGACGGUUGGGGGCAUUUGUAUUCCGGCGUCAGAGGUGAAAUUCUUGGAUUGGCGGAAGACAAACAGCUGCGAAAGCGUCUGCCAAGGACGUUUUCAUUGAUCAAGAACGAAAGUACGC